rnacentral:tRNA from 1 species
GAGUUUAUAGUUUAAUUGGUAAAAUACUUGGCCCUUGGCCAGGGGAUAUAGGUUCGAAUCCUAUUAAACUCG